AGGGCGAGUAAGUGGAGGCGGAGUCAACGCGACCCGGGACAACGCAACAAAAACGAAGCCCACAAUAAUAAAACAAACGGUUUUGAUCGGAAAGGAUUUUGUUUGUUUGUUUGUUGUUUGUUUGUUUGUUUGUUUGUUUGUUUGUUUGUUUGUUUGUUUUGCACACAGCGCCUUCAGUAUUUCCCGCCACCUUUUCCCGGGCGUGGCCGUGUCCCGCCGCCAUGGCGGUCGAGACCCCCGACCCGUGGCCCCUCGCCGGCCAGCUGCAGUGGUGGCUGCGGCUCCUCGGCGACCACCACGCGGGCCUACACCAGCGCGCCCUCGCGUGGGGCCGCGGCACCCCGGUGAGCCUCCAAAUAACUGUGAGAAUCGGUGCUGGUUCCCCUCCGGAAUCAGUGAGGUUUGUUUGGAAACCCAACGUUUCUGUUCGGCACGCGUUCAGAAUAGCUGGGUCACUUCAACGACGGUUUGCAGAGCUUAUUGACGACGAAUGUCGUACCGAACAGCACUCAUAAAGUGCAUCUUGAAGGAUGUUCCUAGAAUCUUUUGAGCCCGAACAGCCCACAAUUGCAUAUGCUUCAAAAAUAAAACUUUGCCUGUGCUCAGUGGCUCAGUCAGUCUAAAGAUGUAGUCAUGUCCUCAGAGUUCGCUGGUUGUGACCGUAGCGGGGACGGGGCUGUUCCUGGUGGACGCCGUCUUGUCCAAGUCGUUCGGCUCCAGGACCAUGUUCGCCAUCCGCAUGACCAUCGGUGUGUACUCGUGCGUCUUUUCCCAGCUGGUGUUCAUGCGUCGACAAGCGGACCUCUGCGACAUCCUUCACAACCUGGGCCGACUCGCCGCCGACCUCGAGCCGCGCGCGGACCGGGACUCGCAGGUGCGUCUAAUCACAAUGACCACAAUAACGGUUUCCAAAUGUUACUCAUUGCCAGAACGAGAACUUUGCAUUGCAGUCGUAUGCACUGCCUAUCAGCGUGGUUAUUCCUUGGGGUAUUUACUUGUAGUUACACUGUUACUGCAGAAACCUUUCGUUCGUCUGCCUUGCGCCGUGCAAAUAGGCAACCUAGUCGUCAUCCAUGCAUGGGGUACAGAGAAUUGCCGACCCACUCUACCGGGAGAGGCGCUGGUGGGAAAUUUGUACUGUUUUUCAGCUAUAAUUUGCUGAGAAAAGUUGGGGAAAGAAAGGGGAAUAGUUCACGAGUUCUCGUACUUAAAAAGCUUUUGAUGUGCGAUGCACGUGAAAACCACGAUAAUAAGCCAACUGUGCAACCGGCCAACACUUGUAAGUGUGCAACUCCAAGUUGUGCACUUGAAAAUGUUCAACUUGGUAUUUAUGCACUUGUAAGUGCACAGUUUGAGUUUGGACUUGCACACCCACCAGUAUUUGCUCACUCGGUUUAUCAGCGUCAAUAUGCUCGCGCGGCCGCCAGGGUCGCAUGCGCGGCUCGGCUGUUCUCAGCGCGCGGCUCGUCCGCUUCUUCUACGUCUACGGCUGCACCUCCCUGCUGCUCGUCUCGAUCAUGUUCGUCUGCGUGAAGCCGUUGUGGAUCAAAGAGAUCGCCGGCGCCGCGACGCGGCUCGUCGCGAACUCGGUGAGUGACUGGCAGCCCCAGGUGCACCUCGACGCUGUAGGGUGCACAAGCAUUUGCUGAAAGGUGUGCACAAAAAUGAAAAUAAGAUAAUGUUGGACUAUUUUUUUAAAAAUUUAUUGCUUUUGCCUGAAUGUGCGAAAAACUAAAGAACUCUUGUGUUGUGUUUGUAUAACCGAGCCAUCUUAGGACGACGACGCCACCCUCGGGCUGGAGUGGACCCUGCGCCUGGCGUGGCUGCCCGUGCAGUCUGGCAUGGCCUUCGUGUGCAUCAACUCGUUCUAUUGCCUCAUCCUGUGCAUGCUCUUCAUUUACGCCGCCUGCGCCGACUUGUGCGAGGCCGUCGGCCGCGGCAUCGAGGUCGAGCGCUGCUCGCGGAGUUGGCCCACGCUGCUGCGGGGCGUGCUCGACGUGCUUCUCCGCAUGGACAACGCGUUCGCCGACAUGAUGCCGCACCUGCUCGUCGUCAGCGUCGUGCUGCCACUGCUGAGCACCGUAGAGGUGUUCGCUCGCGGGACAAAGGCCGACGUGUUUGCGCUCCUCAUGGCCCCGGUGAUCCUGGCCGUCUUCGUCCCCAUCUGCGUGGCCGGCGAGAACCUGGCUGCGGCGCGGCGCGGCUUGUCGGUCAGGGCGUACCGCGGACCGUGGCUCGAGGUAAUUGUG